CUCGCUGAUGCACUCUCCCUC
rnacentral:misc_RNA from 1 species